rnacentral:misc_RNA from 1 species
GAUGAAGAACGUAGCGAAAUGCGAUAACUAAUGUGAAUUGCAGAAUUCCGUGAAUCAUCGAAUCUUUGAACGCACAUUGCGCCCGCUAGUAUUCUGGCGGGCAUGCCUGUUCGAGCGUCAUUUCAACCAUCAAGCCCUGUGCUUGUGUUGGAGCCCUGCGGCUGCCGCAGGCUCCCAAACCCAGUGGCGGGCUCGUCGUCGUACCGAGUGCAGUAAACAUACCACGCUCAGGGCACGCGACGGGUGACCGGCCGUAAAACCCCCCCCCUUCUCAAGGUUGACCUCGGAUCAGGUAGGAAUACCCGCUGAACUUAAGCAUAUCAAUAAGCGGAGGA